GAUGAACGCUGGCGGCGUGCCUAAUACAUGCAAGUAGAACGCUGAAGGAGGAGCUUGCUCUUCUGGAUGAGUUGCGAACGGGUGAGUAACGCGUAGGUAACCUGCCUGGUAGCGGGGGAUAACUAUUGGAAACGAUAGCUAAUACCGCAUGACAACAGUUAUUGCAUGAUAACUGUUUAAAAGGGGCAACUGCUCCACUACCAGAUGGACCUGCGUUGUAUUAGCUAGUUGUUGAGGUAACGGCUCACCAAGGCGACGAUACAUAGCCGACCUGAGAGGGUGAUCGGCCACACUGGGACUGAGACACGGCCCAGACUCCUACGGGAGGCAGCAGUAGGGAAUCUUCGGCAAUGGACGGAAGUCUGACCGAGCAACGCCGCGUGAGGGAAGAAGGUUGUCGGAUCGUAAAGCUCUGUUGUAAGAGAAGAACGAGUGUGAGAGUGGAAAGUUCACACUGUGACGGUAUCUUACCAGAAAGGGACGGCUAACUACGUG
rnacentral:rRNA from 1 species